AGGCCAAUCAAAUUCCGUGAUAGCUGGUUCUCUCCGAAAUGCAUUUGGGUGCAGCGUCGGGUCAUUACGUCCCGGGGGUAGAGCUACUGGAUGCUUGCGGGCCCGUAUCGGGUACCAACAGCAACCAAACUCCGAAUACCGGUGACGCGUAUCCCGGCAGUGAGUCGGCGGGGGAUAAGCUUCGUCGUCGAAAGGGAAACAGCCCAGACCGUCGUCUAAGGUCCCGAAGGAUGUGGAGUCGCAUAGACAGCCAGGAGGUUGGCUCAGAAGCAGCCACCCUUGAAAGAGUGCGUAACAGCUCACUGGUCUAGUGGUUCCGCGCCGACAAUGUAGCGGGGCUCAAGCACACCACCGAAGACGCGGCAGUAUUUUGUACUGGGUAGGAGAGCGUCCCAUGAGGGGCGAAGCGGCCGUGUGAACGCGCCGUGGACUUCAUGGGAGUGAGAAUGCAGACAUGAGUAGCGAGAGACGGGUGAAGAUCCCGUCCGCUGGAUGACCAAGGGUUCCAGGGCCACGUUCAUCGUCCCUGGGUGAGUCGGGUCCUAAGGCGAGGCCGACAGGCGUAGUCGAAUGGAUGAACGGGUCGAUAUUCCCGUACCGGCUUUCAGCCGCCAAAACCGAGGCUUGGAGUACUAACCUCCGGGUCCGGGCUUACUGCUCCUUCGGGGGCGGGAUGCCCUGGCCUGUUGGGACCGAUCCUUGUAGUAGGUCAGCGCAGGAGUGACGCAGAAGGGUAGCCGGCCGCGGAGGUGGUCUUCCGUGGUCAAGCACGCAGGGCGUGGGACAGGCAAAUCCGUCCCGCAUGGGUCCGAGGUGCGAUGAUGGGGGCCUUAUGGCCCGAUAUCCGGUGAUCCCGGCUGCCGAGAAAAGCUUCGGCGUCAGGCUCAAAGCCGCCCGUACCCCAAACCGACACUGGUGGUCAGGUAGAGAAUACCAAAGCGAUCGAGCGAAUCCUGGUCAAGGAACUCGGCAAAUCACUCCCGUUCCUUCGGUUUAAGGGAGACCCCCGAUGGUGAACACACUUGCUGUGGGAGCUUUUGGGGGUGGCACAGACCAGGGGGUAGCGACUGUUUACCAAAAACACAGGUGCAUGCGAAGGCGCAAGCCGCUGUAUAUGCACUGACGCCUGCCCGGUGCCGGAAGGUUAAGAGGAUCCGUCAGCCUUCGGGUGAAGCGGUGAAUUCAAGCCCCGGUAAACGGCGGUGGUAACUAUAACCAUCCUAAGGUAGCGAAAUUCCUUGUCGGGUAAGUUCCGACCUGCACGAAUGGCGUA
rnacentral:rRNA from 1 species